CCUACGGGUGGCAGCAGUGGGGAAUAUUGGACAAUGGGGGAACCCUUAUCCAGCGACGCCGCGUGAGUGAAGAAGUAUUUCGGUAUGUAAAGCUCUAUCAGCAGGGAAGAAAAUGACGGUACCUGACUAAGAAGCCCCGGCUAACUACGUGCCAGCAGCCGCGGGAAUGCGUAGGGGGCAAGCGUUAUCCGGAUUUACUGGGUGUAAAGGGAGCGUAGAAGGUGCAGCAAGUCUGAUGUGAAAGGUCGGGGCCCAACCCCGGGACUGCAUUGGAAACUGUUGAACUGGAGUACAGGAGAGGUAAGCGGAAUUCCUAGUGUAGCGGUGAAAUGCGUAGAUAUUAGGAGGAACACCAGUGGCGAAGGCGGCUUACUGGACUGUAACUGACGUUGAGGCUCGAAAGCGUGGGGAGCAAACAGGAUUAGAUACCCCUGUAGUC
rnacentral:rRNA from 1 species